CCCUUAGAUGUUCUGGGCCGCACGCGCGCUACACUGAUGCAUUCAACGAGUCUAAAACCUGGUCUGAUAGGGCAGGGUAAUCUUUUGAAAGUGCAUCGUGAUUGGGAUAGAUGAUUGCAAUUCUUCAUCUUCAACGAGGAAUGCCUAGUAAACGCAAGUCAUCAGCUUGCAUUGAUUACGUCCCUGCCCUUUGUACACACCGCCCGUCGCUCCUACCGAUUGAAUGAUCCGAUGAAUACCAUGGAUUGAGAGUACGAAUGGGUUCGCUCAUUUCUGCUGCUCGAGAAGUGGAGUAAAUCUUAUCAUUUAGAGGAAGGAGAAGUCGUAACA
rnacentral:rRNA from 1 species